AGAAUGUAGUGAAUCUCUGACUCAAGUAAGAAGAGUUUCUCCGUACUUCCAGCACAAACAAGGGUGUAAUUCUGAUAGUGAGUCUUCUAAAACGCAAAGUGGAAGCAGUACUAGGAAAGCUAAAGUCCAAAGAGUUUCUCCAUACUUGCAGGCAUCAACUAGGAAAACAUGCAGCAAAGCUCAACCUAAAGUCCGAAAAGUUUCUCCAUACUUCCAGGGAUCAACUGUUCCAAACCAGCCAAGAGAUAUGCGUCAAUACUUUAAGGUCGUGAAAGUUUCAAGAUAUUUCCAUGGCCUG
rnacentral:lncRNA from 1 species